UUGGUUCAGUGGUAGAGUACUUGUCUUGCAUGCAUGAGACCCUGGGUUAGAUUCCCUGA
rnacentral:tRNA from 1 species